GACGAACGCUGGCGGCGUGCUUAACACAUGCAAGUCGAACGGAAAGGCCCUGCUUUUGUGGGGUGCUCGAGUGGCGUACGGGUGAGUAACACGUGAGUAACCUGCCCUUGACUUUGGGAUAACUUCAGGAAACUGGGGCUAAUACCGGAUAGGAGCUCCUGCUGCAUGGUGGGGGUUGGAAAGUUUCGGCGGUUGGGGAUGGACUCGCGGCUUAUCAGCUUGUUGGUGGGGUAGUGGCUUACCAAGGCUUUGACGGGUAGCCGGCCUGAGAGGGUGACCGGCCACAUUGGGACUGAGAUACGGCCCAGACUCCUACGGGAGGCAGCAGUGGGGAAUAUUGCACAAUGGGCGGAAGCCUGAUGCAGCAACGCCGCGUGCGGGAUGACGGCCUUCGGGUUGUAAACCGCUUUCGCCUGUGACGAAGCGUGAGUGACGGUAAUGGGUAAAGAAGCACCGGCUAACUACGUGCCAGCAGCCGCGGUGAUACGUAGGGUGCGAGCGUUGUCCGGAUUUAUUGGGCGUAAAGGGCUCGUAGGUGGUUGAUCGCGUCGGAAGUGUAAUCUUGGGGCUUAACCCUGAGCGUGCUUUCGAUACGGGUUGACUUGAGGAAGGUAGGGGAGAAUGGAAUUCCUGGUGGAGCGGUGGAAUGCGCAGAUAUCAGGAGGAACACCAGUGGCGAAGGCGGUUCUCUGGGCCUUUCCUGACGCUGAGGAGCGAAAGCGUGGGGAGCGAACAGGCUUAGAUACCCUGGUAGUCCACGCUGUAAACGGUGGGUACUAGGUGUGGGGUCCAUUCCACGGGUUCCGUGCCGUAGCUAACGCUUUAAGUACCCCGCCUGGGGAGUACGGCCGCAAGGCUAAAACUCAAAGGAAUUGACGGGGCCCCGCACAAGCGGCGGAGCAUGCGGAUUAAUUCGAUGCAACGCGUAGAACCUUACCUGGGUUUGACAUGGAUCGGGAGUGCUCAGAGAUGGGUGUGCCUCUUUUGGGGUCGGUUCACAGGUGGUGCAUGGCUGUCGUCAGCUCGUGUCGUGAGAUGUUGGGUUAAGUCCCGCAACGAGCGCAACCCUUGUUCACUGUUGCCAGCACGUUAUGGUGGGGACUCAGUGGAGACCGCCGGGGUCAACUCGGAGGAAGGUGGGGAUGACGUCAAGUCAUCAUGCCCCUUAUGUCCAGGGCUUCACGCAUGCUACAAUGGCUGGUACAGAGAGUGGCGAGCCUGUGAGGGUGAGCGAAUCUCGGAAAGCCGGUCUCAGUUCGGAUUGGGGUCUGCAACUCGACCUCAUGAAGUCGGAGUCGCUAGUAAUCGCAGAUCAGCAACGCUGCGGUGAAUACGUUCCCGGGGCU
rnacentral:rRNA from 1 species